CCUACGGGGGGCAGCAGUGGGGAAUAUUGGACAAUGGGGGCAACCCUGAUCCAGCCAUGCCGCGUGUGUGAAGAAGGCCCUCGGGUUGUAAAGCACUUUCAGUGAGGAAGAACGCCUGGUGGUUAAUACCCAUCAGGAAAGACAUCACUCACAGAAGAAGCACCGGCUAACUCCGUGCCAGCAGCCGCGGUAAUACGGAGGGUGCGAGCGUUAAUCGGAAUUACUGGGCGUAAAGCGCGCGUAGGUGGCUUGAUAAGCCGGUUGUGAAAGCCCCGGGCUCAACCUGGGAACGGCAUCCGGAACUGUCAAGCUAGAGUGCAGGAGAGGAAGGUAGAAUUCCCGGUGUAGCAGUGAAAUGCGUAGAGAUCGGGAGGAAUACCAGUGGCGAAGGCGGCCUUCUGGACUGACACUGACACUGAGGUGCGAAAGCGUGGGUAGCAAACAGGAUUAGAUACCCGUGUAGUC
rnacentral:rRNA from 1 species